rnacentral:rRNA from 1 species
AGCAGCCGCGGUAAUUCCAGCUCCAAUAGCGUAUAUUAAAGUUGUUGCAGUUAAAAAGCUCGUAGUUGAAUUUCGGGAUCAAUAUAUCGGUCGUGCCUUUGGUACGUACUGGUAUCAUUGAUUUCUCCUUUCUGACGAAUCAUGAUGUCAUUAAUUUGGUGUUAUGAGGAGUUAGGACUGUUACUUUGAAAAAAUUAGAGUGUUUAAAGCAGGCAUUAGCUUGAAUACAUUAGCAUGGAAUAAUGAAAUAGGACGUUUGACCCUAUUUUGUUGGUUUUUAGGAUCGACGUAAUGAUUAAUAGGGAUAGUUGGGGGCAUUAGUAUUCAAUUGUCAGAGGUGAAAUUCUUGGAUUUAUUGAAGACUAACUACUGCGAAAGCAUUUGCCAAGGAUGUUUUCAUUAAUCAAGAACGAAAGUUAGGGGAUCGAAGACGAUCAGAUACCGUCGUAGUCUUAACCAUAAACUAUGCCGACUAGGGAUCGGAUGAUGUUAAUUUUAUAAUGACUCAUUCGGCGCCUUA